CCUACGGGUGGCAGCAGUGAGGAAUAUUGGUCAAUGGGCGGAAGCCUGAACCAGCCAAGUAGCGUGCAGGAUGAUGGCCCUACGGGUUGUAAACUGCUUUUAUACGGGAAUAACGCGCCUUACGUGUAGGGCUUUGCAUGUACCGUAUGAAUAAGGACCGGCUAAUUCCGUGCCAGCAGCCGCGGUAAUAUGGAAGGUCCGGGCGUUAUCCGGAUUUAUUGGGUUUAACGGGAGCGUAGGCGGCAUGCCAAGCCUGGAGUGAAAUGUCCGGGCUCAACCCGGGCCUUGCAGCGCGAACUGGCGUGCUUGAGUCCGCGGAAGGCAGGCGGAAUUCGUCGUGUAGCGGUGAAAUGCUUAGAUAUGAGGAGGAACACCGGUUGCGAAGGCAGCUUGCUGCAGCGGAACUGACGCUGAUGCUCGAAAGCGCGGGUAUCGAACAGGAUUAGAUACCCCAGUAGUC
rnacentral:rRNA from 1 species